GGCGAGGUGACGUGAUAACGGUGGAAUAGUGGAAUACAUCCAUGGUGGAAACGCCAGUGCCGGCAGGGCAGAGUUUGUUGUGUUAGAGUACAGAAAGCGUAGCUUAGUGUUAUCUUUCUAAUAGAUUUUCAAUUUCAUGUCAUGGCUGAAUAUUUGGAUGAUUUCCACAACGUGGA